AUUACUACUUUAUUAAUGAGGUAUAAAAUCUUAAGCUCACUGAACAACAUUACCAUUGCAUUUGUAAUAAAACAUUCUAAAGUAAAAAACACUAUUUAUUCAAAAAGAGGGACGAAAGAUACCAAAGGGACAGUCAAACUCAUAAAUCUAAAACAAACUGACAACGCCAUGGCUAAAUGAAAAAGAGCAAAAACAACAACAGCACA
rnacentral:lncRNA from 1 species